rnacentral:rRNA from 1 species
UACAGGGGGUGCUAGCGUUGUUCGGAAUUACUGGGCGUAAAGGGCGCGUAGGCGGUCUUGUAAGUCAGGAGUGAAAUCCCGGAGCUUAACUUCGGAAUUGCUUUUGAAACUACAAAGCUAGAGUGUGUUAGAGGAUGGCGGAAUUCCUAGUGUAGAGGUGAAAUUCGUAGAUAUUAGGAAGAACACCGGUGGCGAAGGCGGCCAUCUGGGACACAACUGACGCUGAGGCGCGAAAGCGUGGGGAUCAAACAGG